GGUGAUGUAGCUCACUGGUAGAGCACUUGCUUAGAGCACGUGUGAUAUCCUGGGUUUAAUCCCUAACACCACCA
rnacentral:tRNA from 1 species